rnacentral:lncRNA from 1 species
CGCACCCAACUCAAAUGUCGCUUGAGCUGCAUGCCAGUGAUGUGAACUGAAGCAAGUACAAGAGCUGUGCCUUUCGACUUCAAAAGCUAAAGCUGCACAGGCCAUUGCCUUGUUGGAGGCGCUCCCAAAAAUGUUCCCUUACCCAACCGCCCCUCCAAGAAAAGUCGGCAAGUGAGGCACUGUACCAUGUUCUUGAGCCAUCUGAGGACGCC